ACACAAACUAAACAGGGCUGCUGAAACACCUCUCCUGAAAUCCACUAAACGAAUAUGCAGUGAUAUGUUCUGACUAGAGAAUAAAAUUUAAGACUGCUGCAUGGGGCAGUCCGGACCUCCGGCGCAGUGUCGUGCCGAUGACAUCAUCGGCUUCGAGCAGGACGGCGUGGCUGGAGCAUCUACACCACUUGCUUCACAGACGUAUUCAUCGGUUGGCUGGGACGGUCACAUGACGCUCGAGUGCUUGCUAACUCUGAUCUGUACCGGCUAGCAGAGGACAAGCAAGGGGGCUACCUUUUUCCAAGAGAGAAAUCCAAAUUUGUGGACGGAGUGGAGAUCCCGGUACACAUAAUUGGUGAUGCAGCCUACCCGUUAUGACGAUGGGGUUCACCUAACAUGUCCAGCUGAGCCCCAAUCAAAUUACAUAUACGCACACCCUGAGCUCGGCAAGAAUGGUGGUCGAAAAUGCAGUUGGACGAUUAAAAGGACGUUGGCGCUGUCUUAUGAAGCGCAAUGAUGUAGACAUUAAUAUCAUGCCUAACAUUGUUGCAGCAUGUUGUAUUCUCCAUAACCUAUGUGAGUUUCAGAGGGAGGAAUUCCUACCAGAGUGGACGGUGCAGGCCUCCGCUGCGUACCCUGCACUUGAUUGUGAGGCCUAUCUGGGCGACCAUUCUGGAAGUGCAGAACAGAUGAGGUCUGCUAUAAUGGCCAACCUUCCCUCAUUACUCUGUUAAUUUUUUUCAGUUUAUAUAUUCUGUUAAUUGUUGUUGCUACAAAAAAUAAACCUGUUUAGUUGA